rnacentral:rRNA from 1 species
UACAGAGGGUGCAAGCGUUGUUCGGAAUUACUGGGCGUAAAGGGCGCGUAGGCGGCCUUCUAAGUCGAACGUGAAAUCCCCGGGCUCAACCCGGGAACUGCGUCCGAUACUGGAAGGCUUGAAUCCGGGAGAGGGAUGCGGAAUUCCAGGUGUAGCGGUGAAAUGCGUAGAUAUCUGGAGGAACACCGGUGGCGAAGGCGGCAUCCUGGACCGGUAUUGACGCUGAGGCGCGAAAGCCAGGGGAGCAAAGCGGG